CCUACGGGGGGCAGCAGUGAGGAAUAUUGGUCAAUGGACGAGAGUCUGAACCAGCCAAGUAGCGUGAAGGAUGACUGCCCUAUGGGUUGUAAACUUCUUUUAUAUGGGAAUAAAAUGUUCCACGUGUGGGAUUUUGUAUGUACCAUAUGAAUAAGGAUCGGCUAACUCCGUGCCAGCAGCCGCGGGAAUACGGAGGCUCCGAGCGUUAUCCGGAUUUAUUGGGUUUAAAGGGAGCGUAGGUGGAUUGUUAAGUCAGUUGUGAAAGUUUGGGGCUCAACCGUAAAAUUGCAGUUGAAACUGGCAGUCUUGAGGACAGUAGAGGUGGGCGGAAUUCGUGGUGUAGCGGUGAAAUGCUUAGAUAUCACGAAGAACUCCGAUUGCGAAGGCAGUUCACUGGACUGCAACUGACACUGAGGCUCGAAAGUGUGGGUAUCAAACAGGAUUAGAUACCCCAGUAGUC
rnacentral:rRNA from 1 species